rnacentral:rRNA from 1 species
UGGGGAAUAUUGGGCAAUGGGCGCAAGCCUGACCCAGCAACGCCGCGUGAAGGAAGAAGGCUUUCGGGUUGUAAACUUCUUUUCUCAGGGACGAAGCAAGUGACGGUACCUGAGGAAUAAGCCACGGCUAACUACGUGCCAGCAGCCGCGGUAAUACGUAGGUGGCAAGCGUUAUCCGGAUUUACUGGGUGUAAAGGGCGUGUAGGCGGGAAAGCAAGUCAGAUGUGAAAACCAUGGGCUCAACCUGUGGCCUGCAUUUGAAACUGUUUUCUUGGAGUACUGGAGAGGCAGACGGAAUUCCUAGUGUAGCGGUGAAAUGCGUAGAUAUUAGGAGGAACACCAGUGGCGAAGGCGGUCUGCUGGACAGCAACUGACGCUGAGGCGCGAAAGCGUGGGGAGCAAACAGGAUUAGAUACCC